rnacentral:rRNA from 1 species
AGACUUUGAUCAUGGCUCAGGAUGAACGCUAGCGGCAGGCUUAACACAUGCAAGUCGAACGGUAACAUAGAUUGCUUGCAAUCUGAUGACGAGUGGCGCACGGGUGAGUAACGCGUAUACAAUUUACCUAUCACAGGGGUAUAGCUCGAAGAAAUUUGAAUUAAUCCCCCAUGGUAUAUAUGAUUGGCAUCAAUUAUAUAUUAAAGUUUCGGCGGUGAUAGAUGAGUAUGCGUCCUAUUAGUUAGUUGGUAAGGUAACGGCUUACCAAGGCGACGAUAGGUAGGGGUCCUGAGAGGGAGAUCCCCCACACUGGUACUGAGACACGGACCAGACUCCUACGGGAGGCAGCAGUGAGGAAUAUUGGACAAUGGAGGUAACUCUGAUCCAGCCAUGCCGCGUGCAGGAAGACUGCCCUAUGGGUUGUAAACUGCUUUUAUACAGGAAGAAUAAUGAGUACGUGUACUCAGAUGACGGUACUGUAAGAAUAAGCAUCGGCUAACUCCGUGCCAGCAGCCGCGGUAAUACGGAGGAUGCAAGCGUUAUCCGGAAUCAUUGGGUUUUAAAGGGUCCGUAGGCGGGUAAAUAAGUCAGUGGUGAAAGUCUGUCGCUUAACGAUAGAAUUGCAUUUGAUUACUGUUUAUCUAGAGUUAUUAUGAAGUGGUUAGAAUGGGUAGCUGUAGCGGUGAAAUGCCAUAGAUUUUACUCAGAAUACCGAUUGCGAAGGCAGAUCAUUAAUAAUAUACUGACGCUUGAU